ACACUGUGACAUGGGGACACUGUGACAUGGGGACACUGUGACAUGGGGACACCAUGGGAUGGGGACACUGGGGGAUGGGGACACCGUGGGAUGGGGACACUGUGACAUGGGGACACUGGGGGAUGGGGACACUGGGGGAUGGGGACACUGUGACAUGGGGACACUGUGACAUGGGGACACCGUGGGAUGGGGACACUGUGACAUGGGGACACCAGGGGAUGGGGACGCUGUGACAUGGGGACACUGUGACAUGGGGACACCACGGGAUGGGGACACUGUGACACAGGGACACCGCAGGAUGGGGACACUGACAUGGGGACGCUGUGACAUGGGGACACUGGGGGAUGGGGACACUAUGACAUGGGGACACUGUGACAUGGGGACACCGCGGGAUGGGGACGCUGUGACAUGGGGACACCAGGGGAUGGGGACGCUGUGACAUGGGGACACUGUGACAUGGGGACACCAGGGGAUGGGGACAGUGUGACAUGGGGACAGUGUGACAUGGGGACAUGGGGACACUAUGACAUGGGGACACCAGGGGUUGGGGACACUAUGACAUGGGGACACUGUGACAUGGGGACACUGCAGCCACUGUCACCGUCACAGCACGGGGCGCCCUGUCCCCAAUGUGUCCCCAAGGCUCCCUGUCACCUGGGGGUCCUUCGUCACCCAGGUGUCCCCUGUCACCCAGGUGUCCCCUGUCACCCAAGUCUCCUUUGUCACCUGGAUGUCCUUUGUCACCCAGAUGUCCUUUGUCACCCAGGUGUCCCCAUCACUCAGGUGUCCUUUGUCCCUUAGGUGUCCCCCAUCACCCAGACGAGCCCUUGUCACCCAGAUGUCCCCAUCACUCAGGUGUCCUUUGUCACCCAGGUGUCCCCUGCCACCCAGAUGUCCCCAUCACUCAGGUGUCCUUUGUCACCCAAGUGUCCUUUGUCACCAGGAUCUCCACGUCACCCAAGUGUCCUUUGUCACCAGGAUCUCCACGUCACCCAAGUGUCCUUUGUCACCCAGGUGUCCCCUGUCACCCAGGUGACGUCCUCGGUCACCCAGAUGCCCUUUGCCACUUGGGUGUCCUU
rnacentral:lncRNA from 1 species